rnacentral:rRNA from 1 species
AGCAGCCGCGGUAAUUCCAGCUCCAAUAGCGUAUAUUAAAGUUGCUGCAGUUAAAAAGCUCGUAGUUGAAUUUCGGGACUAAUAUGUCGGUCGUGCCUCGGUACGUACUGGUUUAUUGGUUUCUCCUUUCUGAAGAACCAUGAUGUCAUUUAUUUGGUGUCGUGGGAAAUCAGGACUGUUACUUUGAAAAAUUAGAGUGUUUAAAGCAGGCUCACGCUUGAAUACAUUAGCAUGGAAUAAUGAGAUAGGACGUUUGAUUCUAUUUUGUUGGUUUCUAGGAUCGACGUAAUGAUUAAUAGGGAUAGUUGGGGCAUUAGUAUUCAAUUGUCAGAGGUGAAAUUCUUGGAUUUAUUGAAGACUAACUACUGCGAAAGCAUUUGCCAAGGAUGUUUUCAUUAAUACAAGAACGAAAGUUAGGGGAUCGAAGACGAUCAGAUACCGUCGUAGUCUUAACCAUAAACUAUAGCCGACUAGGGAUCGGAUGAUGUUAAUUUUAAUGACUCAUUCGGCG